UACGGGGGGGGCAAGCGUUGUUCGGAAUUACUGGGCGUAAAGGGCGCGUAGGCGGCUUUUCAAGUCGGGCGUGAAAUCUCCGGGCUUAACCCGGAAGGGUCGUUCGAUACUGUUGAGCUAGAGUGUGGAAGAGGCAACUAGAAUUCCGUGUGUAGCGGUGAAAUGCGUAGAUAUACGGAGGAAUACCAGUGGCGAAGGCGGCCUUCUGGACUGACACUGACGCUGAGGCGCGAAAGCCAGGGGAGCAAACGGG
rnacentral:rRNA from 1 species